CACAAGAGUCAUUUUAAUAACAUUUAAUUGCUUUCUGGCAGUUACAGGACCAAAAUCCCCCCUAACCAUGGGUAAUCUCCAUUCUCCAGCUGUGACCUGAAUUUGCAGUAGGUGUACCUUACCUAUGCAUGACGCUCCUGGGGCUGCGUGUAGAAAAGCUACCAUUGCAGAUUUCAGUGUUUUUCUCCUGCUGCCUGGUCAGCAUGGUUAGUGAGGAACCUGGGGGAUGGUUCCUCUUGAGAUGUAAGAGCUGCUAUGACUGGAGCCUGUUGUCUUCUGCUUGGUAUUGCUUUCAGAGCAUGAAGUGGGCAGGUUUGUAAUGGCAGCUGCAUGGGUUGUCUUUGAAAAUGCCUCAGGAUUGGUUGGAAAAGGAAUCAGGUUGCAUCUCAGCUGUAGUCAAAUGAAAGAAAUAAGUAAUGGCUUACCCAAAGCUGACUUUGUACUUGUCUUCACAGUUAUUGCAUUCUUCCAGUUUUCUACAGCCUAAUAGGAAAAUACAUAGUAAGGUUUGGGUACCUGGUGAUGUGAGCAACCUCGGCAGCCAUCCUUGCCUUGAGCAAAUCCAUUCACUUCUGCUCAGUAUUGAUAUGUAGGACUGGGGGUAAUAAUGUUCCUUGGGUGGCCUACAGCCAGGUGGUGUGGAGGCACGACAACCUCCAUAGCGUGUGAGUGAAGUGUAUGGCAGUCAUUUACACAAAUGUAGAGAGUAGUUUGCCCUGGAGAACUCACUGUGCAGCAGCUGUGAUGCUAAAAUCAUGAUAGAGCAUUUCUGGUCCAUGGAGAACUAUUACCUGGAUGGUGCUGUGUUGUAUUUUGUCACUGAACUGCUCCUGAAACAUGAGAAAAAAUAAAUAAGGUAUUUACUGGUGACUGCCUUUUGCAAGCUGUGUAACAUGUGUCUGUUCCCAGUCUGAGGAGCUGCAUGCCUAAGGCCUGUGGGAGUGGAAGCUCUCAUGUCUCAAUCUGAAGGGAGAAAUCAAGGAUGGGUUUGGUUUGGAGGAGAAUCCUGGUUGGGGUGAAGAACACAUGGGAGUGAAUAGCCUGGUCCUAUCUAGAGAACUUGAAUUUUAUAUUGCUGCUUAGCAGCAGCAGCACAGAAAGCUGUUUUUACGGAGAAGUGCAAUACAAAUUAAUGGUGAUGGAAAAAAUUCUCUCCUCAGGUAUGGUUUCAGUUGCAGGUCACAGCAUGUGGCCCAGGCAGGCUGCUGACUCAGGACCUCUCACUGGCAUUGCUGGCCUGCAGCCCCUCCGGCAAACAUAAGGACAGUAGAAGAGGAAAAGUUCCUAUUUCAGCAGGCAAGCAAUUCUGGGUGGUUUAACCUACUCUGAUCUGGGGAUACUAGGUCUUACCUCGCACUGAGGAGUUAAAACAUCAGUGCACUACUUCCCUGUUUGAGUAAGUGAAGCCAGCAGGCACCCUUCCUUCUACUCCCUGAGCCCUCUUUCCUUGGAGUGGCUUUCCCCUUUUUUGUCCAGGAGGUGGAAACUGCAGAGCCUGGUGACUCACUGUCAGCCUUGGAGACUGAUGGCCUCCUACCUUACAGAGAAUGGGUCUCUGCACCCUGUGGCUUGAUUUAAAAUGUGGUGAGGAUGGCAUCUGUCAUUGCAGAUGUGAUGCAGGCGAUCCCUGGCUCAGUGUAAGAGAGCUCAUCAGCCCUUUGGGCUUGCAGGCCUGCAGCUGAGCUGCACUCCUCCCAGGCCUCAGGCACUGAGGGAGCUGAGUGUAUGUGGCAGCUGGUGCCUAUGGAGAAAAACAGCUCUGUCCCUUCUUACCUCCUCCAGUCCAGUAUUUCUCAAGAGAGAGUAGGAGCAGGAAGAUGUUACACAAGAGAAAUCAGCUGCUGGGGAGACCUGACAUGGCAUGUCUAAGAGACAAGUGAAGCCCUUAAAAAAGCCCCAAGUAUUUUUUCACAGGACAAUUCUACUGCCUGGGAAAGUCAAUGGAUUUUAUUUUUUUUUUCCCUUUCUGGUAUAGUAGAAUUCAAUCAGUCACUAUUUCACUGUUCUCAACUCUUAGAAACUGGUAUCUUUUGCAGUACCAUGCAAAUAGGCCAGGGUAAGUUAACCUUUAACAACUGCAGUUUCAGCCUCAAAAGCAUAGUCCCAGCCUGUGCAUCAGAGCAAGGCAGACUCAAGCAGCCACAAAAACACUGCUCCUAAGGAAGGUGUCCUGGCCUUCCCUCACAACAACGUUCUUCCAUGACUUUGAUGAGUAACUUGGCUUUAGCCCAACCAGACAAACAAAUGAGUCAUGCUCAAGCUGGCCCAAGUAUGGUUAUGUUAAGAUGUUACUACUCAAACACCUUGUACCGCAAGCAAUAAUCUAGCAUCGGUGACAGACAGCUCUGCUCUGAUUUACUCGUAUCAACUGUACCAUUGGAAAGGUUGUCAUGGUGCCUCAGCUGUCUUCUGUCAUUUUUCAGUCACCUGAGGACAUUCCAGUCUGCCAGCCAAGUUUGGUAUAACUGGCUGGCACAUUCCUUUAUUUGCUCUUGAUGAAAGAUGUCUGCAAAUACAAGUUAAUAAGUCACGAUUGUUUGCCUUCUCUUAAAAACAGGAGGGGGGAGAGAGAGAUUGUUGCAUUUUCCUCUGCUGCUACCUCCACAUUUUGCAUUGACCAGACUUCAGAUGUUCCCCAGCAGUGGUCACAGCCACCAAAGCCUAUGGGUACAUCCUCACACAGAUAGCUCAUCAUAAAGCAGUGGUACACUAAUUGCAUACAAUUAUGUAGCUUGCUUUAAAAGUAAUGCCUCCUAUUUAUUUCCAUGGAAACUACAGCAGAUACAAAGAGCACAAUGAUGGAAUUUGAUAGAGCACAUUCUCAGCCACAACUUUUUUAAAGGCACCAGUGAUGAACAUAACUUUUGGAGCAGAUAGUACAGGGCCUGUUGAAUGCCAUCCAUCCCUAAUAAUGUUGUGUGGUCACACAGCAUUGAGCAUCUCUGGUUAUGAUUUUGUCACAGUUAACUCACCAAGCCCUCACUUACCCUGACCUGGAAAUCAGUACGUGGGGAUUCUUCCAGCUGAGCACAGAGGGUUCUGGAGCCCUGGCAGCACCAGUUAUCCUGCCAUACUGUUAGAGAUGGAGCCUGGCACGCUGGGGUGCCCAGCCUCUCUCUCCUCUCAUGGGGUAUUGCUUACACAGUUCUUUCCUGAGUCACCAGAGAGGAAUCUGUUAGUGGUUACAUGCACAGACAGAUACAGACAGCAAUCAGGCACUUGCAGGCAAAACGGGCAGAGCAGUGUGAAAGCACAAGCCAGCUGUGCUGCUUAGUGGCUCAGCUACUCCUCCCCUCAACCUGAAAUGCUUUUCACAGUACCUUGAAAACAAAGCCAAAGAAGCGUUGAUCGACUCCCUACGUGCUAAGGCACAGUGGCUUUUAAGUGAUGACACUGACAGCCUGUGCCUGUAUUUCAGCUUAGGCAUUGCAGUUCUGUACUGACGUACUUCAUUUUAGACCAAGUAUUCAAGAGCAGAUGUUUAGCAGCACGUGGCAGCCCAAACACUGCAACUCCGUUGUAUGCAGUACACUGUGAAGCAGUUGCAGUAAAUAAGCAGCAUUAGCUCCUGGCUGCCCGCUACCUGUGACUGCCUACAUUCAGACAGUGCUGCACCUUACCUCCUUUCUCUGCACAAAACCAGCAAGACCUGAUACUCACUUUUUGGUUCUUUUUCACUCUUACUGUUCUAUAUUGCAGAGAAGAACAGUUCUGGGUUAAGGCUGGAUUAAAGGCACUUACAAUGCCCUGCUGAAACUUCUGCUCACAUACUUUUUUACAAGCAGAUCAGUUAACAGGCUGCCUACAGACAUGGCAAACUGAUAUGCAACCAAUUAUUUUACCUAACAAGACAAACCUGAGACAAGUGAAGCACCUUAUUUCUAACAGCUCCCAGCAAGGUGGACACAACGUCACUCCCAACUGUCAUGGAUGUGUGUGUGGCUAAGGCUGGUCUCUGAUGAACACACAACAAAUAUUUUAUCUGAGACUUUGAAACCCUCUGUGUUCUGUACUGCACAGCUUCUGGAUGCAGAGAGAAGAGCACCAGCCAGCUGCCCUAGGUUGGCCAAGAAAGUGAGUAGGACAGGAUCAUCACAGAUGGUCUCUGGGUGCUGUAAAGUUCACCAAACACUCAACUCCUUAGGUUGUGUUGAAGUUCUGCCUAGGAAACAAACAGCUAUCUUCCCCUUUGGCAUCUGCUCAAGUAGCUUUCUGCUUAAUUAUGACACCCUAUAAGCCCAAGCAAGCAAUUUAUAACUGCAAGAGAAGAGAAGCAGGUUAACAAAAAACCCUGCAAAUAAAUGUACAGCCACGCACAAAGGUGUGUGCCAGCUUCCCUUCCUGCUAUCUUCUGCUUUUGUAUAUUACUACAUGAGACCCUGGCGGGGUGAUGCUGAAGUGACUGUCCAGUGUCUGCUGCCAGAAUUCAUUCCCAGCACACAUUGCUCUGAAAGUCAAGCCUGCAGUGCAGGGAGAUCAGCAGGGUGUGCACUGCCCUUACACACUGAGCACUGGGAGUAACAAACUGCACUGACAUGCACAGCAUAGGUUAUGCAUCAGUCAAGAUAGUACUUUUAUUAACUGGAUUUUCCAUGUCUGUCACACAUCAUGAAGUUUUAUACAAUGAAAAAGCCAAACACUGCUGGAAGCAAUAAGAUCAGCUGCUAUUUCUGUACCCUCUUAACACACGCUCACACACACACACGCAAAUUCUUUCUUGGUGAGAAAUUUUUAUAUUUGUUUGUUAAUUCUGCUUAUUUAUACUGCUACUUUUAAAAUCCUGUGUCAAGAUUGUCACAUCUUAAAUACAGAUGAAGUUGCUAGAGGUACAUGAUUUUAUAUAUAAUAUAUACACACAUACAGAAAAAUACAAGACUAAUUGUUUUUGCACAAUAUUUAAUUUAUACACUACUGUAACUAUAUGCAACUUUCCAAGACACGUUAAGGGGUACAAGGAACUGUUUACUCGCUCUAAGUAAUAGUUUGGUCCAAUAGUAUCUUAAUGUAGUGGUUCUUCUCGCCCUUCCUUCUACGUGACGACAUAAUACAACGUACACCACAUGCACAGUCAUUCACCUAUCAACAGAUGGAUAAGGGACGCCACUCAGACUAACAGCUGUACGCCCAGAGGUCAACCAACCACACACAACUAGUAAGGCUAUAAUACAACUAUGCAGCAUAAAUGAUCAACACUGCUGUUCUAAAGUGAGCACCAUAUAUACAUUUGUAUAUAAAAACAUGGGAAACAAAAUACACCUGGGGUUAGUUAAAAGGUGCCAUUCCAAGGCUGUACAUAAUAUCAGGAAAGAGUAUUUACAAUGCUUGGAAAAAAGCUGCAACAAAUAAGUUUAUUGCCAAUGCCCUUUAUAAACUUUUCCUCCUACUUCGAUGUUACGCUCACUGUCCGUGAACCACACAUCUUAUUUCUGGCCCUUUAGAAGAUCCCUGCUCAAAAAACGUCAGCAAGUAUGUUCUAUGGCUUCACCCACACAUCUCUUCUUGCAGUUUUUCAUUUAUAAAUACCACACUGACUAAACUGCAACUCUCCUAAAACUUACUUAAAAGUAAAAUGCUCGUCAUCACAUCCUUGUUUAGGAAGCAGAAUGUGAAAUCCCUGGCGGGAAACCCCGCGCAAUUCAGGUCCUCUUAGUAAAGUCUUUUACUAAUGAGAAGAGCUGUCAUCAACUGUAGAAAUUACAACCAAGUGUAACGCAGUUCUUUGGUGCUCUACUCACUCUACAGCAGACAUGAAAUACAUUGUAUUGGCCAUUCUGCAACGUGACAAGAUGCUCAACAGUGUAAACUCCUCUCAGACAUCCAACGUCUGGCCAGGGCGCUGCUACAUAACACCACCGGUUUGAUUAGCAUUGCUCAGAAGACCCAGUGCACAGCAUGAAAAAAUAAAACAUUCUCGCCCUUCCCCAAACCAGGAAUCCGCAAUAUAUUUUUAUCUAGAUAAUAAAAUUCCACAAGUAAAUUCCCCUUCUCUUGUCAAAUGCACCCACUGGUACACAAAUACUCUAAAACAAGACCUCGCCGUGGCUAUGAGAAACCCAACAGAAAGGCAAAUAGUUGUAAAAUAAAUACUUUCCUAUAUGCUAUUUUCACCAAUAUUGACAAAAAGCAUGUAACUGAGGGAAAAUAAGGGGCGUGCGUAUGGGCAAACAGCAGUACUUUAAGUCGUACAAGAGCCUGAUUUGAUAAUGAGAAAAACGUAAGUGACAGGAACUACGUCAACUUGAAUCCAAUUAAAGGUUUUCCAUCCCUUACUGCCUUUUGAAAUCUCCAGGAGGCUGGGAGAGAACAGGGAGGAAGGCUCACAAGGUAAAAACCUAAAAUGUUAAGUGUCGUGAUAUACAAAUAAUGAAAGUAAUUCAUACAAAUAGUUUAUUUUCAGUUAGCACGUAAAACCUCAGAAGUAGGCUUAAUAAUUUACCUCUGUUAUAUUAAAAAAGAUUGUCUGCUUGUAAUAUUAACAUAUUUCUAUGGGAAAAAAGCUGCCUUACAAAUCUACUUGCUUCUUUAAAACAAAACAAAAAAACCCAACCCAACAAUGCAACGCAACUGCCUCUAGCAAAACGAGAUCUUUUCACUCUGAUUUUUGAGCCACAACUUUAUCCACUUCAUAACUUAAGACAAAUAGGUAUGGGUUUAAACUCAUAUUUCAAGAUCGCUAAUUUUCAGUGCAUCUUUGCUUUGUACAAGCCUUGGAACAUCUGAAAGCUCCCUGAAGAGUUUUCAGCAUCAAAACAUUAUUGCUUUGGUUCUGUUUCAGACACAUAGAAGUAUGCCACAUAUCACAGAUUUUAGAUAUCACAGAAGGUCAGAACAAGAAUUAACAUUUCACAAGUGAACAAAAGCUCCUCUCUCUCUAGUUUAAGUGCAGAACGUGAAACUUCUAAGUGCUCCAUUUACAUUAGGAUCCAGAUAGUCAUUUUAAUUUAAUCCAGAUCUUCCAUAGUAAAAUUAUAAAUGUAAAAACUACACAACAAAAUAUUCUGUUUCGUCGAAAAAAAAUAUAAUGGCUAGCAGCAUGCAAAGACCAUGCAUUGUCAUAUCAUCAAGCAAACACAAAAUUAAAACGUAAUAAAUAACUGCUCAAAGCCCACUUAAAAAUCUUAAGACAACAAAAGGGGGUUCAGUGACAAGGCGUUCACAGCUCUGAACAGGAAGAAAGAUGCGGUCAAAUAGAUCAAGCUAUUAAAGUCAGGCUGCUGUCAAAUGACAUGACAACAACUGGUCUGACUGGAGGUACACAGCAGGCCCUCCUUUGGGUUCCGCUGAAUAUUCACAGAUAUCGUCUUUUCACAGAGAGGUAGUUGUAGCACGUUAUUUUUCAAGUUCCUGUUCUUUAGCCGUUCCAAUUCAUUUGCCGUGUCUGAUAUCUGGUCAGAAAAGAACUUCAGGCUGCCCAACGAAGAAGCCUGGUUGGCACUUCCACUGGAACUUAUACACAUUUUCCACGAUGAUUUCUCCUGUACUUUUACACUGGAGAAUGUCAGAUUGUUUUGAGGAUCAAUAAUGUAUUUAGUGCUGCCGUGAAUCUGUGAACCCAGGCAAAGGCUCAUUAACUUCAGGCUUUCAACCAGUUCCCCUGCACUUCUAGAGGAUAACUGCAUUGAGUUUCCAGAUCCGGCGCAUCGACGAGUGGAGCCUGAAGUGUUGUUGGUGCUGCCGCUGGAGUUGCUGGAGGGACUUCCCCCACCUUUGCUAUCACCACCUGGGCUCGUUUUGUCCACUCCUCCAUUUGCGUUACUUGGUUUGCUUUGUCCACCACCAUCUCCUUGGCUGCCAGGCGGCCCCUCGCUGCUAUCCCGCCUGUGCCACGAGUAAGUAAACCCACUAUCCUUAUCGAGGCGCCUCCUGCUUUCCGAGUCAUCGUCACUUGUUUCUGAGCUACUGCAACUAGAGCCACGGCCCUGGCUUUUCCUCCUGUGGUAGCGCUUGUGCACUGUGCUAGGCGAAGCGAUGUUCAUUUUUAACCUGCUGAGCUUUGGGGGUAAGUUCUCGUCCAUGUCAAACUCAUCAUCCGACUCUCCUUCCUCAAAGAUCUGAUUGAGGACUGGGGCGCUCUUUCGUGAAGUCAGUCGGUUUGUAACCGAAGGCUUACGGCGCAGAACAACUUGAGUAGAAAGAGAAAUAGGCUUCUUGUCUUCUUCAUCCUCCUCUUCAUCUUCUUCUACUCUGAACAAGCACUUCCGGCCGCUCGUAGUGGGUUUUAAGCUCACUGAUGGAACUACCGAGAGUGCCGGCCCUGCUAACUCAGGGAUCUCUUCUUUCUUUGCUGACUCACCAGCAGCCUUGCUUCUGUGUCCAUUGAGAACGUUUUCUGCCGUGCGAGCUGGAGACUGAGGAACAGUUGCAUGGGAGAGAGGAGAAGCUGUAAGGUCAUCCUCCAGAUCCUGGGGUACAUCGAUUUUUGUUGGCCAUGAUUGCCUACAGAAGUACAAAAGAUAAAAGUCACAUCAUGGCGAUCAUCUCAAAACACACAAGCAAGUUUGAGAACUAUACAUGAGGAGCUUAAGAACUGCCACAAAGAUUGCCUGAGUUGUGUAUUUGUAAAGGGCAGUACUGAGUAACUGAGAAAAAACGUUCUCAAGAUGUGCAUUCCUUUGGAAAUGCUGUUACUUGAAAGGAAUGUCAUAUUUACAAAAGCAUCGUUUAGAAAUGUUGUUUUCUGUCAAAAGGAAUCUUAAAAAAAUUCACUACUCAGAAAAUGAGGUAAGCAAUACAAAGCUUUAAAUAACUGCCUUUCCAGUAAUCUGAAGGAGGCAUAGAAACACCGGUGCCACGGAGGAGAGACGCAAGAAGGUUCAGGUACAAGAUGAGUAAAAGUGGUUUAGAAUAUUCUGAAGCUUUUGUUACUUUUUUCCCCAGUACUCUUACUACAAAAAUCAGGUUAAAAUCAACACAAAUGAGGCUGAAAAGCAAAGUCAGAAGGAACAUUCUCCUAUUUAAGUAAGUUUCAUUCAGACUAAGCUCUGUUCCACAAUAAUCACCUUUAAUUUCAAACAUAUGCAUCAAGGUCACACACAUUUAUUUGACCUUACCUCAACAACAGGAAUACUGCAGUUCCAUAAAUUCAGAAUUCAGAUUGCUUAAUAAACUAGCAUAAUCAAAGUUCAAACUGUAUGAGUGUCUCAAAACAAACUGAAGUGACAGUUGAGAGUAAAUCAGGUUUACCAUCAGCAGCUGGUACUAACGAUUUAUAUUUUACUUUGCAUUUGGGAGAUGUAAUUUUCCCAUCACGUACACAAUAAAUUAAGAACAAAGACUGACAGUCCUUUCCUCUCUACCUGUAUUUUGAAGACUGAUCCAAAAGAACUCACCACCUUGACAGUGACUGCGCAUAAGCUCCACACUCCUUGUACAGAGUAAGAGUUUUCUUCUAUCUUCUCAAAAAGUUAUCUUGAAGUUAAAAGCAGUUUCCUCAUCAUGUGAUUUUACAUUAGCUAACAUAAUCUAGCACGAGAAGCAGUGGAAAGAGACUUCUGCUCGUGUAUGGAUGACAUUACAAGAUACUGCCAACCUUACUUUGGGCAUGCCACCAGAAGGGGCUGCAAAACUCUCCAGCCCAAGUAAGAAACAAAGUAUGGCUGGAAAGCAGAGAGGAAGCAGAAAAGUUUCAGAUCAGGGUGACCACCAGCUAUUCUCAUUGUGUUCAAGUGUUUAGAGUUAAUAGAUGCAUCUGUGUUAGAACUGUAUUUGCUCAACACUCCCCUCAUCCACCAGGCUGGUCACCCAGUUGCAGAUGGAGAUGAGGUUGGUCAAACACAACCUGCCUUUCAUGAACCCGUGCUGGCUGGGCCCGAUCCCCGGGAUGCCACGCACAUGUGUGAUCUCACCCAAGCUGAUUUGGUCUGUAACUUUCCCUGGUACCAAGAUCAGGCUGACAGGCCUGUGGUUCCCCAGAUCCUCCUUACAGCCCUUCUUGUAGAUGGAAGUCACAUCAGCAAGCCUCCAAUACUACGUGUAUCUCACACAGUAGCCCACGUUUACCUCCCUGUCUUCCUCCACAUUGUGUCCAGUAGGUCCAAGGUGAGUGGGCCAGAAGGAAAACUCCAAAUUGUGAGUUAUUCAUGUUUAACUUUUACAUCUUCUAAACUCUCAAAAUGAAAUUAAUGCAUCACCGUUGUCCUUUCCAUAAGAUCACUCUAGAUACUUUCCAUUUAGAACCACCAUGGAGAAAAGAAGUAACUUGAACGCUACCUGGAAUUGUUAAUGGCAAGAGUUCAUCAAUUACUGUGGAUCUGCUUGUCACGCAAAGAAAAUUCACGCUAUUAACGCAGACUUUAACUACUCUGUUCAACAUUACAAAAUCAUAUCAAGAUUCAGAUUCAAUAAAUCUAUGUGUCCCACUUCCUCAUCUAACUGGAGCAGCUGUUUUACAGAAAAAGUGAUACUGAUACAAUGAAAAAAACAAUUUAAAAGCAGACUUUGUAGGUUUAGAACUCAUUUGAACUCCAAAGUUUUCCUCUAAUUUGUUUUACAGCUUAUACUUACUAUUAGACACAUUUGAUGUUCUAAUUGAAUUUCUUGUAAAAGAGAUUGAUGGACGUAAGAGGACAGAGAGAAGUGCAGAGCAAAAGGCAUAUAGUCGUGACCUUGAAAAGAGGUAAGCUCUGUAACACCAAGCCUUAGACCAGUUAAGUUUCUGUAGAUUAAAACCUGUACUUGCAGCAAUAAUUCUUCUAAAGCACUUGUCACCAUGCCACAUCAGAUAAUGUUUCUUACGUGAGCAGACAGAGAGAGAUGACCCUUCUGUGCAGCAACUAGAUUUCAGUGUAAUCUAGCACACAAUCUCCAGACAACAAAGAUUCUGAUAAUAGCCACUGUAAGAUUCUAAAACAACUUGUUAUUCAGGUAGAUGGAAGGAUAUUCAGAAGUGAUUCAUCUAAGUCCUAAAAGUUUCAGCCUAAAUCCAAGGUCACAAUCAAGGCAGAUGAUGCAUCUAGAACCUGUUUUCCACUGCGCUUACCUUUAAUUUGUAACAAGCACUCUUUUUGUUUUUGUUUUUUGUUAAGAUUGUAUUUGAGAUGAUAGUACCUUCUAUCAAUUAGUCCAAGUAAAAUAUAGAUAUGCAGCAGAAGGGAAUCACAGUAUUCAUGCUCUUCUGCCACUCUUCUAUGACUUCCAUUGCAAGAAAAGUUGCACAAAAAGCCCUCUAGCAUGAAUGACCAGUCUUGUCUUUUCCUUGCUACAUUAACAAACCUGAAGGACAGUAGCAACUGAAGCAUUUCGUGUUCUUCUCUCACUAAGAGAUUAGCUACCAACAACUGCUAUUACUGCUAACAGUGAUUAUCAAUAACAUUUUACCUAAGUCAUAAGGCAACUUUCUGAAAAGACUGGAGAUCAGAGGGCAGAAAUUAAUGCAAAAGCCUCAGUACCACCUCCAUCUUCACUGGAAAGAUUGUCAAGAUGGGCCAGUAAUGAUUUUUCUUAACAGCAGAAGGUUUCUUGUUGUAUUCUAACACUUACUCAGCAAACUAAAAAGAAAGCAUUUAAGAAACAUAACUGUUCAAAACUCAUAUGCCCCAGAAUCAAUGUGCAACUGGAAACUACUCACAACAUAAGCAUAUGCUUCUGUAACUGGAAAUGUGAUGCUGUGAUAGUGGCCUGCACAGCAAGGGGACUGGUUGAACACAUCAGUACUAAUUACAUGGCACAAUUCUCCUCUCCUCCCUUUGCUUUACUGCCUGUCAACAAACUGAAGCUUUGAAAACUCCAAGGUGCUUUUUGUCAAACUAAGAAUUCUAUGGCAGUAAUUUUAAAUGGAUGACUGAAGUUUUCAACCAUUUUUCUUACAUAACAGCCAUAUCAAACUAACUAUAUUAAAAAGAACAGAACAACCUGAAGAAGUUUGCUCUAAUCCUGAUUUACAGAACCAGAAGCUAACAACUACUCCUUAACGUCAACUUCAAGUAAUUUCUCAUCUCUAAGUAACUCCCCAUCACAUUUAAGGACAAUGCAACUGAUUUUUUCCCCCCAAGGAUAUUGCACAAACUUUCUAUGAGGAUCUGAUGGUCAACGAACACGUCUGUUCCCAGCAGGUAUUCCUUCAUAUACAGACUUCAAAUUCUUUACCCAUCUUCUAAAAACAGUAGAAAUUGAGAAUAUUGGUAACUAAUUCGUGAACAGCUUCUCAAUUGUCCACAGCACUUUAUUUGAACCCACUUAAAACUGGCAGUAAAUAAGCACGUCACAGCUUUAUAAAAGUAGUACUUGAACAAUUCAAUAAGACACUAAAUUUAAAAAAGAAGAAAAAAAUUUACCUUCUCUAAUUCUUACCUGAACUGCGCUUUGAUGUUGCUGGGGCUUGCAGAUCUGGUCUGAAUUUCUUUCUCCUGUUUUUCUCGCAGAAUCCUCUCAGCCAAUAAGAAGUACGUAGCAGUGAUGUGAUUGUAUUUGUUAGUUUCCAGUGCCCUACGGAAACAACAGAACAAGAAACAAACCGUACAUCAGUGGCUUCUAAGAACUGGACACGCAGUUUGCACAUCUUGCUGUAUUUCUUAGGCACAGCACCUGGCAAACACAACUGUGUCUUUUUGAUACCCUGACAAUUGUCUUGGUCUUCCUAAAAAUAAAGAGCCAACAGGUCUAAUCAGUUCACUUUAGGUGAAUGAGAAUAUUUUUAGAGUGCCAUUCAAAAAGAAAUUAAUUCUUCCUUUGCUGACCAUACUUGAAAGAAUAAAACUGUAUUUUGUUAAUGUUAUGCACCAGCAGCAGGCUUUUCCCAUUGGCUCAUUUAUUCCCAACACUCAUUUAUGUAGCAACCAGAUGAAAAACUUCCAUUAUCUUACAGCUGUCACGUUAACUUCACAAUAACAUUAUACUCCUAAUCCCAACAUAAAGGACACCAGCAGCUAAAAACGUAAGUAGUGACCCUGCUGUUUUGUUAUCUCUUUUAUUUUUCUCCCCCUCCCUCCAAUGUUAAGGUUUUAAGAGUUUUUUCCAGGUCAAACAUGAACAAAUAGAAAAAAACAGCUACACCCUCUUUCAAUGCAUUGAAUGUUGUGAAGAGUUGGGGUUUUUAAUCUGUUAGAAGAAACUAUGCAGCUUUCUAGUAUGCUCACUCAGUGGCAAUGACGAUUUUGCAUUACACAGACAUAAGAAAUAGUACUUUGAAUUACAAAGAUCCAUGUAUAUGCCAGCAUACUGAAGGAAAAAUGUUAGAAUUUAUCACCUCUACGUAUGCAUGCGGACAGGCAUAACUAGUAUGGAUAGGUAGCACAAGUCAAAGCAUGGAUUUCAAAGCAAAUUUGCUUAAGAUUGCAAAGUGUUGCAGGAAACGAAAACUGUUCCAAAACACCUCCUUAAAGUUUUGCCUAAGACUGGAUCCAUGUCAGUACUUGUCAUCCUAGAAUGCUCUCAGAGAGCAAGAUUGUAACACUUCGUUUGAUAACUGAAUGGCUUGACAUUUCAACACUGAAACACCCAGGUCACCAGUGCUGUAUCUCGUACGGUGGCACAAAAUGAACUUCAUGUAGGAGACUGAGAACUUACUCCACUAUAGUAUCUCGGUCUGCAAUGUCACCAAGAACCAUGCGCUGUAUUAUGCUGUUGUGUUCCUCCUCGGACAGAUUUUUGUAUGACACAAGAGGAAUGUUGUACUUUGUUGCAGGGGAAGGGUCAACUCCUUGGAGCCACGCAUGGUUCUCAAUCUCUUCCAAAGAUGCCCUUCGCUUCGGAUCUCUCUGCAACAUCCGUGUAAUCAGACUGUAAAUAAAAAACAGAUCUAAACAAAAUGCAUUUGCAUGUUUAAAAGACAACCAUUCUAACAGCAGCACUGGAAAGAACUUUGCUGUCAGCCCAAAUAGGUCCUCAGAAGUCUCUACGUAAGCAGUGUGAUGUCACUUCACACUAUGGGAAUUCCAGCAGCAGUUUUGGGCCUCAGACCCCAGCAUUUCAGAGAUCUGCAUGCAGUAAAAGAAGCAAGCAGCAGAUCCGAGGUAAGGGAAGAGGCAGAAAGCUCCUGAGGGAAGAGCAGCUGGCAGCAGCCGUGGGAAGCAGAGCACACAGCUCUGUCCUGGAGGAGCUGGGAGGGAACCGCGCUGCUAGCUGCCCAACUGCAGCUGGCUCUGUGCGGCCUGCACAAAUACUUGACGUGCAUUUAAAGCUGAGGGAUGGCUACGGUUUUGUUUAAGAAUGUAAAUCACACAUUCAUCCCUAGCACAAUUAUUCAUUUGGGUAGUUACAACACAUUCUUCAUAUGGUUUAGCUGAGAGAGAAAAAGACGCUACAGGGUAAUUUUCUUCAGAGCUCUAAUUUGUACUAAGUGUAUGCUAUUAACUCCAACAAUUAUUUGAUUUCUGUUAUGCUACUUUAGGGCCUCGAUCCUGUAUGUGCCCAGCACUUGGAGGCCUGCACGCCGAGCCAUGGAGACCUGCAAAUUCAACUUCAUUGAUCACACUGCAAAGUCAGCGAGGGCUUUACUGCUUCACCAGCCCGAUGCCAGAAAGCUGCACGGUUUGGAAUGCUGAGACUGAAAGAAAGCCUUACAAGGCAGAGGCAACUUUAUCUGAAGUACACCUUGACUAUUGUAAAGGUGCUUGCAUCUUCCUGCUUAGUCUAAAAGGAGCCAGAAGUCUCUGGCGCGUUACCCAUCUCCCACCAAGCAACAGGUAUCAAAGCCUCAUUUCUGCAGGCACACGGAAUGUGUACCAUCACGCAUUUCUAUUAGCUGCCAUCUUCUGUAUGUCAGUGCCCUUCCUCGAUUCCUAACCUUCCCUAAGGAAUCGAUUUUGCAAUACAAUCUAUGUUGUGUUGUCAGUAUUCCGUUCAGUGCCUCCCAAUAAGAUGCUCGGUGUCUCCUUCCAGCAGGAAGCGUUUCAGGAGGCACCACAGAGCUCCGUAAUUACAGAUAAAUUAUGUCUGCCGUAAUAAAAUUACACUGGCUAAGCUUAAGCCAAGACAAAAAAUACUGAAGAGGAGAGUGGAAUAAUUAAACCAUAAAUUAAAAAUGAGCAGGCAAAAAGCUAGAACAGACGAUUCCAAGAAACUGAGCUUAAAAUAUCAGAAGAGCCCCAAGAAGAGGACAAAAAUAGCAGUGAGACAACAAUUAAAGUGCCACACAACCACACAGAGGAAACUCCAGCCCACUUCCGAGCGGCUCAGCUCACAGUACCUACAGAUGGGAUCAAUGAAGGAUGGAAAUGGACCCCGACUGGCAGCAUCGCGGGCAAUUAUUCCAAUCACUGUGUUAAGAUAUUAAAGAGAAUGUCAUUGCCACAGCCUCUUCAGAGCACUGUGAAGAAAGCAGAUUUCAAGGGGACCUCCUGAAGAUGAGGCCUGAAUGCUGAACACUGAGUCUCUUUCAACAUCAAGUUCUUCUGUGCAGAGCUAAAUGUGGAAAUUUUAAUGUAAACAUCACCCACGUCUUUGCAUUCUUGAAGGCAGCAACUGAGCAGUAUCUCAAGGCUGUUCCAAGGUAGGCACAAACACCCAUCCUGAACUACUUCAUUCGGACAGGAAUUUAGGAGUGGAACUUGGCCUGGGUUCAGGAGUAAAGUCCAGGCUCAUAAUUCACAACGGUACCAGUGACGAGGAUGCUUGCUACUAGUUCAUAUGUUUUCUUCACAGCACAGACUAUGGAAAACAAUGAAAACUCCAAUUUGUAGAAAACUUCACACAACUGUUUGAAGAGCCAGAACACAGCUUGAGUACAAAUCCGUAUGAAAACACUGCAGGAAGAUUUUUAUGCACUUAAUGAAAACCUACGUAACCACAGUAAAAAAGAAAAGCUGGUCUCAUUCUGAUCAGUGCUUCAGGGGGGCGUGUUACAUUGGUGAUAUGUUUGUGCUUCAGAAGAUAAGGACACCGACCCUCUGCAGACAAGAAGCAUAGAAGAUGCCAUCCCUGGCAUUGAAAAAAAAAAAACAGAAACAAGACAGUAUAGAGUAACCUUGUGUUAGCAGUAUCAAUGUUUGUAUGCAUCACAGGUAGUUGUACACUACUAUAUGCACACUGCUGACGAGCCUGGAUGAUGAUGACGACUCUGGGCCAGCUGUAAAUCUGAAGAGCAUGGGUAAAGAACAAAAUAGAAUUGCUGCCAAAAAUGUGAUCUUUGAGUGAUUGAACCCUUUUUCUGUUCUUUAGCAUCCCAUGACCUCCAGUAAGCUUGCAUACAGACAUCUCCACUUGCCAGAGAUGCUGCUGUCUGGUGACAACAUUUCUAAAGUUUUUGUAAAAUGGGAUUCACUUCUCCCUUGCAGAAGACUGAGGCAGAGAUCUUUUGCAAUCAAUGACAACACCAUCAGAAUUUACACGCAGGACUGGCUGUUCUUGCUUUAAAGCUCUGCAAAUCCAAUUAAAAUGACUAUUAGAACACACAGACAAGAGAAUUAAGAGAAAUCUCUUCCUUCCCCUAUCUCUUAAAAAAAAAAGAGCAAAAUAGCAAAUGGCAUUUAGCAAAUUAUUUUCAUAAUUAGUUUAUCUGUCUGAUGAAACAGUCUGUUCUAUAUGUUCCUUUAUUUGACUAAGACAUGCUCAUCAGCAACUAUUCUUAUCUUUGGAAAGCAUUUCUAUUUUCAUUCAGUUUGGCAACUAUUGCUUACUUUUCCCCUCAAGAUAAUUGCCUGGCUUUUGCUGAUUGCAUGAAACUAUUAUAGACAAACUGUUGACGCUCUUCAUGAACAAAUCAAGAAAACCCACACCUUCAACUUUUACUGAACACUGCCCUCAAUCUAGAAUAGUCUUCUUUACUCUGACCUGUCAAUCCUGCACUUAGAAAUGCAUUCUUUCUCUUUUGGUUUCUGUUGCUUAGCCACAUUUCCAAAACUAUCUAUUUAGGUCCGCCAGAUCUGUGUUACCAAAUUAGUUGAUGGCUGAAUGUAAGUAAUUGGAGUAGUUGUUUGUAAGGCACACAAAGUGAAGCUUCUUAUCCCAUGCGCGUGGAUUCCAUUAUGAUAAAUACUUUCUCCACAGCAGUUUGAAAUAUAGUGAAAACAGUUCACAUGUGAACAUGGCUGGAUGCUAAAGGCAUCUCUGUACUCAAGUUAGGGUUUAGUAGAUAGGUUAGUAACCAAAGUCUACCCCAACAGCUUGCCCUCUGUAUUUUCACUUGGAUACUGGCACAGACCAUACAAUAUUCUUUGUUAAUGCCACUUGAUGAAUGACUGUCAUUUUCAGCCAAAUGAGCUUCUCUCGCAUGGAAGGUGAAGACAAACGGGCCAGGCUGAGCCGUUCUAACCUGAGCUGCCUCUUGCAAAAAAGGGUGCAUCUUAUCACCUGCCCCCAGAACACUGGUGCAAGCCGCAAGCUCCCAUCACUUCCUUAGCACCAGCUCAAAACUAAGUGAGCAAACAGCUCUGUUUGCUAACCUGGCAGAAGUUAAGCCUGUAGAAAAAUUAAUAGCCUUCUGUCAAAUUAACUCAUCAGAUCAGCUCAUCAAAUAGGCAGCCACGCAACAGAGUGUAGCACACAAGAAGGGGGUAGCUCUGCACUGAUGCAAGCAAAAUGGAAGGGCAAAACCACACGCUGGAAGCAGCUACGUACAGUGCUAUUUUAGCUUUCUGCACCCUCAAAUCUUCAGACUCACCAUGUAAUACACCCAACUGCCCAAAAGUGAUGCAGUGUAACAUUAAAAAAGGAGUUUUGGAAAAGAAAACAGUCAUUAAAAAACUGCUGAAGGAUUAUUUGCCUCACCUCUGUUUUACUUCUAUCGUGUUUGGCUGCAAUCCAAUUUUGAACCUACUAGAAUUCAAAAGGUAAUUCAACACCAUAUAGGGCUUACAAACAUCAUACUAUUUUUUUCCCCUUUAGCCAAGCCUGUCAAAUCUUAUAUUCAGCAUUCUCAUAAGGUAAAAGGUCACUGUAAA